UGAAAUGCGAAACGUAAUGCGAUUUGCACGAACCUGUGAGUCAUCAAGUCUUUGAACGCACCUUGCACCGUAUGAGCAAUUGUACGGUAUACCUGUUUGAGAAUCGUAAACCCCCUCACUUACUUGUAAGUGGAGCUGUCGGCUUAUGAGCAAUCAUAUCUGAUCAAAUGGAUUAGGUCUGGAUCAGGCUGGUGGCCUGAGACACUGUGUGCUAGAGACUAGCAGUCUUAACCGACUGGUCUGUCUUCUCACGGUGCGUCUCGGGUCAUUCAAAGCUGGCCUGCUAAGGACCUUAACUGCGCACAGCCCUGUGCUGUGGCAACCCCCCCCCUUUUGAUCUCAAAUCAGGUAAGGCUACCCGCUGAACUUAA
rnacentral:misc_RNA from 1 species